rnacentral:antisense_RNA from 1 species
CUUGAUCGAACCGAGCCACAACGGUGUCUCGCGGUCCUUGCCGUAGGUGGCCAGCAGGGCCUGCGCCUC